GAAACGAAUCGUUUGGGAACGGCUCGGAGGUCGGCAGUCGUCCCUCUUCUCGAUCGUCGCCGAAAAGCCCCCCCACCCCCCCGACCAAUGAUCGCUCCCCGAUCCUCCUCCUGCGAUCACUAACCGUUUCCCUCUGUCGGAGCCGUAGAUCGUCGUCGCCCAUCCUCCGCCAUGAGUUUGGAGCCCUUCAACAGGUUGGUGAAGCUCGCGGCGCGGGCGUUCUACGAUGACGUCACCAUAAAGGGCGAAAACCAGCCCAAGACUGGGAGAGGCGACAACAGGGGGAUGGCUGUUAUUGUUCUUGAUGCCCUCUCCAGGCGCCAGUGGGUUAGAGAGGAAGAUUUGGCUAAAGCCUUGAAGUUGCAUACUAAACAACUGCGCCGUGCUUUACGUUUUUUUGAAGAAGAGAAGCUAGUUACUAGAGAACAUCGGAAAGAGAGUGCCAAAGGUGCAAAAAUAUUCAAUGCUGCAAUUGCUGCAACUGGUGAUGGUCCACAAGGUACUAAAGAGGGUGAUGAGAAGAUGAAGAUGCAUAUGCAUUCGUACUGCUGUUUAGAUUAUGCACAGAUUUAUGAUGUUGUUAGAUACCGAAUGCAUCGGAUGAAGAAGAAAAUAAAGGAUGAGUUGGACAGCAGAAAUACCAUUCAGGAGUACAUAUGCCCUAAUUGUGGGAGAAGAUAUUCUGCUUUUGAUGCAUUACAACUUGUGAGCAUGGAUGAUGAAUAUUUUCACUGUGAAAAUUGCAAUGGUGAACUUGUUGCUGAGAGUGACAAGCUUGCUGCUGAAGAAAUGGGAGACGGGGAUGAUAAUGCUAGGAGGCGGAGGCGUGAAAAGUUAAAGGACAUGCUUCAGAAGAUGGAGGAGCAGCUGAAACCGCUAGCAUUACAGCUUGCUAGGGUGAAAGAUUUGCCUGCUCCUGAAUUUGGAAACCUACAAGCAUGGGAAGCUAGGGCACAUGCUGCAGCUCAAGCUAGUGGUGAUUCUAAUGCUAGUGAUUCUUCUAAAAAUCCCCAAGCACAAGGUUACACUGGCACGCCAAUGCCGUUUCUUGGUGAAACAAGGGUCGAAGUUGCUUUAUCUGGUGUUGAGGCAAAAGAGGAGAUUGAACUUGAUACAAAACCUACAUCAAUGAAGGUUUUACCUCCAUGGAUGAUCAAACAGGGAAUGAAUCUUACAAAAGAGCAGCGUGGAGAGGUCAAGCCUGAUGUCAAAGUGGAGCAAAGUUCCAGUUCUGUUGAUGAGAAGAAAUCAAAUAUGGAUAAAGAAGAUGAAAAGAGUUUACAGGAUGAAUAUCUCAAGGCUUAUUAUGCUGCCCUUGUGAAAAGGCAAGAAGAACAAGAGGCCUCUAAAAAAGUUCAACAAGAGGCAGAACUGCCAAUAAAUGUUUCUGAAGCACCCUUUGAGCGACGUGUUGGCAUGAAAUCAAAACGUGAGGAUGACAAUGAUGACGUUGAAUGGGAGGAGGAGGCCCCAAGUACAGGUAAUUCUGGUCAAUCAUAUAGGCUAGCCGAUUUGAAUGUGGAAGCUGAUGCAUCGGAUCAUGACGAUGAUGAGGAUGGUAUAGACUGGGAGGAAGGCUGACAUCCAUCAGAAUAAUAUCUACACAGUAAAUGAGCUCCUCCCACGUUGACUAAUGAUGCUUGGUCUCCAUCCUGGUCUGGUUUUGUUUAAAACAAUCACACCUCUAUAUAUAUAUAUAUCAUUUUUCAGGGAGUUAUAUACACUAUAAGUAAAGCGCUAUAAGAAUGCAAUUCUGAACAGAAGAAAUAGACGAUUCUAUUUUGAACACCUGAGUGGAAUAAAGCAAAGAGAUGUCAGGCGAUGCAUCGUCGAAGAGCUUUUGAUAUCUACUGAGAUGCAAAAGGGGGGGGGGGGGGGGGUUCACUCUGCUGCAAUCGUAUGGUGGGUCUGUCGAUCCUCUCGAGCGCUUCCCAUCUUUUCCCAUGUCUCUUUAUUUUGUAGUAGUUACGAGUUUAAAUAAGAUUCAAAUCUAAAUAUGGACUGAACAUUUAAUUUUACUAAUUGGAGUUUUAUAGUA